ensembl:lncRNA
AUGGACACCACGGAAUAUACAGAAGGGGCUGUUGUAGGGAAAAAAACCAAACAACAACAAAGGGACAGCAGGCUCUGCCUCACGGCUAGUGGGAAUCCCUCUAUUUCCUCCCAUGAGCCGGCACUGGAGGCAGCAGGUAUCCCGUCGGGAUGCAGGAAACAACACAACUUCCCCCCACAGCCCGUGGAACUCCAGGUUCGCCUGGGCACCCACAGGCGCCGGCAGCCACUCACUGCGGCUCCCUGGGGCAGGGGACACCCCCGAACACGGGCACACGAGGCACGGGACACCCGCAAACAACGGAACACGGGGCAGGGAACGUCCCAGAGGGAGGUGACACCACCAAACACCGGCAAAAGGGACAGGGGACACCCCCGGAGAAAGGUGACACCCCCGAACACCAGCAGAGGGGACAGCCCGCGGCCCGGGAACCCUCGGCGAGGCGCGGGGGUGACACGGCCCCGCGGGAGGGGGACACAGCGGCUGUGCACCGCGCAAUGGGAUCCCCGCGGAAGCCUGGGGCAGGAAUUCCACUUAGCAUCACCCACACCUCAACAGAGCAUCACUGCCAGGGGGAUCCUCACCUUCCUCCUCGCUGGAAAAGCAGCAGCAUUUGCCCUCAACAAGGAGUUUUUACAUCUAGGAAGCUCCAGCUCAGCAGCCACACAGUGAUUAUAAAAAAAAAAAAACCAAACUGGAAAAGCCCCUUGGCAUGCACGACUCCUGUGUGAUAAAUACAGACAUUUUCCUUGGCACUGUCUCAGACUGAUAUUCCUAACCCAUCCUAAAUGCUGGUGGUGACACUGGAGAGGAAACACAUGCUGGCUUUGAGUUAAAACCCUUGCAGACUCAGAGGGGAAAAAAAGAAAACAACCCUGCAAGGCUACAUGACUUUAGCAUCCAGCUAUUUGUUAGAACUUAAAUUCCUGGAGAUUAAUUAGCAGAUGUAGAACAUUGCCCAAAGGUAGGUCUGUACCACAGCCCAAACAGCUCUGCAUCCAAACUCUGCAGCUGGCCUUCAGGUUUUUUUUUCCUUUCCUGAAAAAAAUAAAGGAGCAAAGGCCUCAAUACCCUCAAUCCUGGGCUGUAGUUCCCAGGGUUUUGAUAGAAAUCAUGUACGGGAGAUAAAACAGGAAUAUUUCAUGUUUCAGGUAAAUAGUGAGGUUUGUGUCUUCAGCAGAGGAUCUCAUCCCACCUCCCAUUCCAAACCUGUGUAGACAGCCAAGAAAGGGUCUCACAUGAGCUUGGCUCGCUUGGGCAAAAGGGACAAGGAAAAGGAUUCGCUCCAUAAUUGUGAAUGGGGAAUCUGAAACAUCAAAAAUUCCAGCCCUCCUCCCCUUCCUACGAGAAAAAGGCAGAUCCCGCUGGAAAUUCAACAUUUUGCUGCCAGAAAGGAAGCCAAGGCAGGGUAUGAGAGGAGCCUGGAGAUACUGAAUUGCUCAUCCAGCAAUAGCAAAAUCUUUCCAAAUUCCAUCCCUGCUCCCCAGGCACUGGCUGCUGCCAGCACACGGCCAGCGAUUGCUUCGGAAAGGGCAAAGUUCAGGGUCUGAACAGCCAUCUGUGCUGGGGCCAGGCAGCAGCUGGGCUGGGGAGAGGGCUGGGGCUGCUUCCCACUGGGAAAGAGCAGCUCCAGCCUUGCCAAGCUCCGUUUUGGACUGAGAAUUGCUCAAGCAAGGCUGGAGCUGGCACCGGAUCUGAGCAUUUUCACAUAUCCCUGGGAAACAGAGGUGAAGAGCAGCACUGGUCACCUCUGGCAUGAUCUACAGAUCCUGGGCUCAUCCCUGCUGCAGACCAGGUUAGUGAAUUAUCUCCAAAAUUACAGCAGAGCUGAAAAAAUGAGCCCAUGGGGGACUGAGAGCCAAGGAUGGGAAACAGAGCUGAAAAAAUGAGCCCAUGGGGGACUGAGGGCCAAGGAUGGGAAACGCUGGAACACUGGAGUGCCUGCUCCAGAGGGCAUCACAGCAGGCAUUUCACAGUCAGAGCACUGCAGAAUUAGGAAUUAAUUAAUCCUCACAGUGGCCCUGUAAGACAGAUCUGGUGUAAUUAAGCCUUGGUUUUAUAGCUGGGGAAACAGAGGUGUGGGGUAACAGCUCUAGGAAGAACCGCAGAUGCUGGGGGUGUUUGGAGACAGAGCUUUGUCGCCUUGUAGAUUAUAAAUCCAGCAGAAACCACCUCUCACCUGUCCUCCUGCCUGAUUCAUGCCAGGAUCUGGCUCUCAUCUUAUUCCUUCUCCCAUUCACAUGAGCAAUUUAUCUCCCAAGUGAACCCCCAGCUGAUAAAACACUUCUCAUGCUGAAGGACACCCACGCUGCUGCAGGGAGGGGAUGGCAGCCCAUUCCAUGCCUUUUGUGAAGAGAUCCCAGUUUUAUCAGCACAGACACCCACCCUGGACCUCCUUGACCUGCAACUGGGAUGGGGUGAUGGCAAAACCAGUCUCCACACUGUCUCCAGUGCCAAACCCCAGCAAACCUUACAAAAGCAAUCUGCAACCACACCGAAGGACAGCUCUUUGGAAACACCCUACAGAUAGGCUUAUUUUUCCCUUUAACUUACAACUUGCCUGCGAGCAGCCAGCCAGAAAGAGAAGGAAGAAAGAAAGAAAGGAAAAGAAGCGAUUCCUCCCUGUUCUGCUGCCGUUAUUCUCCCCUCUGAGGUAGACAUGGACGCGGCGGGGAUGAACCACUGCGGAGUGGCCAUUUGUCUGGCGGGCGAGCCACCCCCCCCCCCCCCCCCCCCCCCCCCCCCCCCCCGCGGCACCCGCGCUGUCCUGCCCCAGCGCGGUGGGAGCCCUGGCUCCGGGCAGCCCGGCGUGGCUCAGCAGUGCCGCAGCAGGCAGGCGGCGGUGGCCGGCGCCGC